CAUCAGUGUGAAACACCGAUUCCCGUACCAAGACCGAAGUUAAGCAACAUUGAACCUGGUCAGUACCUAGAUGGGUGACCGCUUGGGAAUACCAGUUGCUGUAAG